rnacentral:rRNA from 1 species
GACGAACGCUGGCGGCGUGCUUAACACAUGCAAGUCGAACGGAAAGGCCCUGCUUUUGUGGGGUGCUCGAGUGGCGAACGGGUGAGUAACACGUGAGUAACCUGCCCUUGACUUUGGGAUAACUUCAGGAAACUGGGGCUAAUACCGGAUAGGAGCUCCUGCUGCAUGGUGGGGGUUGGAAAGUUUCGGCGGUUGGGGAUGGACUCGCGGCUUAUCAGCUUGUUGGUGGGGUAGUGGCUUACCAAGGCUUUGACGGGUAGCCGGCCUGAGAGGGUGACCGGCCACAUUGGGACUGAGAUACGGCCCAGACGCAUGCGGGAGGCAGCAGUGGGAAAUAGUGCACAAGGGGCGGGAGCCUGAUGCAGAAACGCCGCGUGCGGGAUGGCGGGGUUCGGGGUGUAAACCGCUUUCGCCUGUGACGAAGAGUGAGUGGCGGUAAUGGAUAAAGAAGCACCGGCUAACUAUG